UACGUAGGGUGCAAGCGUUGUCCGGAAUUAUUGGGCGUAAAGAGCUCGUAGGCGGUUCGUCGCGUCGGCUGUGAAAUCCCGAGGCUCAACCUCGAGUCUGCAGUCGAUACGGGCGGACUGGAGUUCGGCAGGGGAGACUGGAAUUCCUGGUGUAGCGGUGAAAUGCGCAGAGUAUCAGGAGGAACACCGGUGGCGAAAGGCGGGUCUCUGGGCCGAUGACUGACGCUGAGGAGCGAAAGCGUGGGGAGCGAACAGG
rnacentral:rRNA from 1 species